rnacentral:tRNA from 1 species
UUAAUUGAAGCCAAAUUAGAGGCAUAUUACUGUUAAUAAUAUCAUUGAAUUUUUAUUCCAAUUAAA